rnacentral:rRNA from 1 species
UUCCGGUUGAUCCUGCCGGACCUGACUGCUAUCGGAUUGAUACUAAGCCAUGCGAGUCAUUGUAGUAAUACAAGGCAGACGGCUCAGUAACGCGUAGUCAACCUAACCUAUGGACGGGAAUAACCUCGGGAAACUGAGUAUAAUGCCCGAUAGAACAUUAUGCCUGGAAUGGUUUAUGUUCCAAAUGAUUUAUCGCCGUAGGAUGGGACUGCGGCCUAUCGGUUUGUUGGUGAGGUAAUGGCCCACCAAGACUAUUACAGGUACGGGCUCUGAGAGGAGUGGCCCGGAGAUGGGUACUGAGACACGGACCCAGGCCCUAUGGGGCGCAGCAGGCGAGAAAACUUUGCAAUGUGCGAAAGCACGACAAGGUUAAUCCGAGUGGUUUCUGCUAAAGGAACCUUUUGUCGGUCCUAGAAACACCGAUGAAUAAGGGGUGGGCAAGUUCUGGUGUCAGCCGCCGCGGUAAAACCAGCACCUCAAGUGGUCAGGAUGAUUAUUGGGCCUAAAGCAUCCGUAGCCGGCUUUGUUAGUUUUCGGUUAAAUCUGUACGCUUAACGUACGGGCUGCCGGGAAUACUGCAGAGCUAGGGAGUGGGAGAGGUAGACGGUACUCGGUAGGAAGGGGUAAAAUCCUUUGAUCUAUUGAUGACCACCUGUGGCGAAGGCGGUCUACCAGAACACGUCCGACGGUGAGGGAUGAAAGCUGGGGGAGCAAACCGGAUUAGAUACCCGGGUAGUCCCAGCUGUAAACUAUGCAAACUCAGUGAUGCAUUGGCUUGUGGCCCAAUGCAGUGCUGCAGGGAGCCGUUAAGUUUGCCGCCUGGGAAGUACGUACGCAAGUAUGAAACUUAAAGGAAUUGGCGGGGGAGCACAACAAGGGUGAAGCCUGCGGUUCAAUUGGAGUCAACGCCGGAA